rnacentral:rRNA from 1 species
UUAAGCGACUAAGCGUACACGGUGGAUGCCCUGGCAGUCAGAGGCGAUGAAGGACGUGCUAAUCUGCGAUAAGCGUCGGUAAGGUGAUAUGAACCGUUAUAACCGGCGAUUUCCGAAUGGGGAAACCCAGUGUGUUUCGACACACUAUCAUUAACUGAAUCCAUAGGUUAAUGAGGCGAACCGGGGGAACUGAAACAUCUAAGUACCCCGAGGAAAAGAAAUCAACCGAGAUUCCCCCAGUAGCGGCGAGCGAACGGGGAGCAGCCCAGAGCCUGAAUCAGUGUGUGUGUUAGUGGAAGCGUCUGGAAAGGCGCGCGAUACAGGGUGACAGCCCCGUACACAAAAAUGCACAUACUGUGAGCUCGAUGAGUAGGGCGGGACACGUGGUAUCCUGUCUGAAUAUGGGGGGACCAUCCUCCAAGGCUAAAUACUCCUGACUGACCGAUAGUGAACCAGUACCGUGAGGGAAAGGCGAAAAGAACCCCGGCGAGGGGAGUGAAAAAGAACCUGAAACCGUGUACGUACAAGCAGUGGGAGCACAGAGCAAUCUGUGUGACUGCGUACCUUUUGUAUAAUGGGUCAGCGACUUAUAUUCUGUAGCAAGGUUAACCGAAUAGGGGAGCCGAAGGGAAACCGAGUCUUAACUGGGCGUUAAGUUGCAGGGUAUAGACCCGAAACCCGGUGAUCUAGCCAUGGGCAGGUUGAAGGUUGGGUAACACUAACUGGAGGACCGAACCGACUAAUGUUGAAAAAUUAGCGGAUGACUUGUGGCUGGGGGUGAAAGGCCAAUCAAACCGGGAGAUAGCUGGUUCUCCCCGAAAGCUAUUUAGGUAGCGCCUCGUGAAUUCAUCUCCGGGGGUAGAGCACUGUUUCGGCAAGGGGGUCAUCCCGACUUACCAACCCGAUGCAAACUGCGAAUACCGGAGAAUGUUAUCACGGGAGACACACGGCGGGUGCUAACGUCCGUCGUGAAGAGGGAAACAACCCAGACCGCCAGCUAAGGUCCCAAAGUCAUGGUUAAGUGGGAAACGAUGUGGGAAGGCCCAGACAGCCAGGAUGUUGGCUUAGAAGCAGCCAUCAUUUAAAGAAAGCGUAAUAGCUCACUGGUCGAGUCGGCCUGCGCGGAAGAUGUAACGGGGCUAAACCAUGCACCGAAGCUGCGGCAGCGACGCUGAUGCGUUGUUGGGUAGGGGAGCGUUCUGUAAGCCUGCGAAGGUGUGCUGUGAGGCAUGCUGGAGGUAUCAGAAGUGCGAAUGCUGACAUAAGUAACGAUAAAGCGGGUGAAAAGCCCGCUCGCCGGAAGACCAAGGGUUCCUGUCCAACGUUAAUCGGGGCAGGGUGAGUCGACCCCUAAGGCGAGGCCGAAAGGCGUAGUCGAUGGGAAACAGGUUAAUAUUCCUGUACUUGGUGUUACUGCGAAGGGGGGACGGAGAAGGCUAUGUUGGCCGGGCGACGGUUGUCCCGGUUUAAGCGUGUAGGCUGGUUUUCCAGGCAAAUCCGGAAAAUCAAGGCUGAGGCGUGAUGACGAGGCACUACGGUGCUGAAGCAACAAAUGCCCUGCUUCCAGGAAAAGCCUCUAAGCAUCAGGUAACAUCAAAUCGUACCCCAAACCGACACAGGUGGUCAGGUAGAGAAUACCAAGGCGCUUGAGAGAACUCGGGUGAAGGAACUAGGCAAAAUGGUGCCGUAACUUCGGGAGAAGGCACGCUGAUAUGUAGGUGAAGUCCCUCGCGGAUGGAGCUGAAAUCAGUCGAAGAUACCAGCUGGCUGCAACUGUUUAUUAAAAACACAGCACUGUGCAAACACGAAAGUGGACGUAUACGGUGUGACGCCUGCCCGGUGCCGGAAGGUUAAUUGAUGGGGUCAGCGCAAGCGAAGCUCUUGAUCGAAGCCCCGGUAAACGGCGGCCGUAACUAUAACGGUCCUAAGGUAGCGAAAUUCCUUGUCGGGUAAGUUCCGACCUGCACGAAUGGCGUAAUGAUGGCCAGGCUGUCUCCACCCGAGACUCAGUGAAAUUGAACUCGCUGUGAAGAUGCAGUGUACCCGCGGCAAGACGGAAAGACCCCGUGAACCUUUACUAUAGCUUGACACUGAACAUUGAGCCUUGAUGUGUAGGAUAGGUGGGAGGCUUUGAAGUGUGGACGCCAGUCUGCAUGGAGCCGACCUUGAAAUACCACCCUUUAAUGUUUGAUGUUCUAACGUUGACCCGUGAUCCGGGUUGCGGACAGUGUCUGGUGGGUAGUUUGACUGGGGCGGUCUCCUCCUAAAGAGUAACGGAGGAGCACGAAGGUUGGCUAAUCCUGGUCGGACAUCAGGAGGUUAGUGCAAUGGCAUAAGCCAGCUUGACUGCGAGCGUGACGGCGCGAGCAGGUGCGAAAGCAGGUCAUAGUGAUCCGGUGGUUCUGAAUGGAAGGGCCAUCGCUCAACGGAUAAAAGGUACUCCGGGGAUAACAGGCUGAUACCGCCCAAGAGUUCAUAUCGACGGCGGUGUUUGGCACCUCGAUGUCGGCUCAUCACAUCCUGGGGCUGAAGUAGGUCCCAAGGGUAUGGCUGUUCGCCAUUUAAAGUGGUACGCGAGCUGGGUUUAGAACGUCGUGAGACAGUUCGGUCCCUAUCUGCCGUGGGCGCUGGAGAACUGAGGGGGGCUGCUCCUAGUACGAGAGGACCGGAGUGGACGCAUCACUGGUGUUCGGGUUGUCAUGCCAAUGGCACUGCCCGGUAGCUAAAUGCGGAAGAGAUAAGUGCUGAAAGCAUCUAAGCACGAAACUUGCCCCGAGAUGAGUUCUCCCUGACUCCUUGAGAGUCCUGAAGGAACGUUGAAGACGACGACGUUGAUAGGCCGGGUGUGUAAGCGCAGCGAUGCGUUGAGCUAACCGGUACUAAUGAACCGUGAGGCUUAACCUU